AUGAUAACUGAUUCUCUGGUUAUUUUGUACUUCCCACAUGCUGCAUUUUGUUGUGUUUUCGAUUUUACAUUUACUUUUUAUAUGCAUUUCUUUUGCACUCAAAAGGAAGCAUAUAAAAAAGAACUGGCGAAGUAUACACUAUCACAACCGGGAUCUUCUCUUGUGGAGCCAUGUCUCAGGACAGUUAGAAUGUGGGCUUCACUAUCAAGCUAG